rnacentral:rRNA from 1 species
GAGCGUUUGAUCCUGGCUCAGGACGAACGCUGGCGGCGUGCUUAACACAUGCAAGUCGAGCGAUGAAAUCCCUUCGGGGAUGGAUUAGCGGCGGACGGGUGAGUAACACGUGGGCAACCUGCCUCAAAGUGGGGGAUAGCCUUCCGAAAGGGAGAUUAAUACCGCAUAACAUUAGUUUUUCACAUGAAUUACUAAUUAAAGGAGUAAUCCGCUUUGAGAUGGGCCCGCGGCGCAUUAGCUAGUUGGUGAGGUAACGGCUCACCAAGGCCACGAUGCGUAGCCGACCUGAGAGGGUGAUCGGCCACAUUGGAACUGAGACACGGUCCAGACUCCUACGGGAGGCAGCAGUGGGGAAUAUUGCACAAUGGGCGAAAGCCUGAUGCAGCAACGCCGCGUGAGUGAUGAAGGCCUUCGGGUUGUAAAGCUCUGUCUUUGGGGACGAUAAUGACGGUACCCAAGGAGGAAGCCACGGCUAACUACGUGCCAGCAGCCGCGGUAAUACGUAGGUGGCGAGCGUUGUCCGGAUUUACUGGGCGUAAAGGAUGCGUAGGCGGAUGUUUAAGUCAGAUGUG